CUUCCCGGCAAAAAUGCAGGUAUUUCUGGAAAAUGGCCCGGUGACAUACGAGCAUGCAGACGAGGCGACUGAGGAUCUGAAGUCGAGGGGCAUCCCAGUGGAGUAUACCGCCAGGAGAAAGGCGACAUCACCAGCGGAAAGACUCAAACAGGCUCUCCCAUGGAUCGUUGUCGACAAGCAGAGUCGUGGCGAAAGAGGGAAACCACCUCGGAGAGAGAACGUUCACAUCUGAGAGAGACUCAGGCAUUUCCAACGGGAAGGUGGAAGACACUGAAUCGGAUUUAACCAAAUGAAUAGUUACCGCGAGCUGUUAAGACGUUGGGUUGUUACGGUUGACAUGGCAAUAGGUAUAAUAUCUCCCCUAUUUUCCCCCCAAUGCUGAACAAGGGUGAGUAGCCAAAAGUGCCCUUAUUAUUUUCGGUUCCACCAGGUCUUGUUUGUGACUACGUCACGCAUUUUCAUAUCUGAGCGAGGGGCCCAUCCUGUGGACAGGCUCAUCUCCUCAAACCCCAGAGGCAAGAGACAGUCCUCUGACAUGGGAGUCCAAAUACCAAAGUAUUUUCCCACUUUGGUUUACUUUAUUAUCGCUCUUGAAUUUUAGUUCAUUUUUAGGCUCAAGAUAAGCAGGCAGAUAUGGUGCACAGGUUUUUAAAAUUUAUAUCGAUGCAUCAUGGGGAAUUUAAGGUCAUCAGUCUCAAUGUAAACGGACUGGGGAGUGACAUCAAGAGAAGUAAGGUCAUCAGUCUCAAUGUAAACGGACUGGGGAGUGACAUCAAGAGAAGUAAGGUCAUCAGUCUCAAUGUAAACGGACUGGGGAGUGACAUCAAGAGAAGUAAG
ensembl:lncRNA